rnacentral:lncRNA from 1 species
UAAGCCUGAUCCCCCAUACCCGUUCUCAGAACCGUGGCCUAACCUGGAGCCUGAGGCCAACCUCUCUUCCCCUGCAGUCAAGGACUCAGUGACCAAGGAGCUGCAAACAGCCCGGCCAAGCAGGGAGCAGACUUAGAGGACACCACACUCCCGUCCCCUCCCUGAUGCCAAAGAAGCAUGGCUGUGAGGCUCCAGGAGGUUUCUGGAAAGCACCUGCAACUCCCCUCCCAUCAGUUCAAGAACAGAGAUCACACAGGUUUGCAUCAACCAGAAAGUCAGCUUUAUUAGCCCAUCACCAGUAGAGGAGCAGGGAGACAGCUGGGAACUGCACUGGGAGAGCAGGGUCCUGACCCAGGCCUUCAGGAGGUGAGGCCAGCUGGUGGGCAGGAGGCUGUGGUAGAGGCAGCUCAGUUCUAGGAGCACUGGCCCUGGCUGAAGCUGGAUGAGCCCUGCUCCUUGAGGAUGGGCCAGGUCUGACGGCUCGAAGAGGACGAAGAGGAGGUGAAGACUGUGGGAGAGAGAAGAGGAGGCAGCGGUAGGUGGCGAUCUCCUGCUCCAGCCGUGUCUUCAUGUCCAG